rnacentral:rRNA from 2 species
UACGUAGGGGGCGAGCGUUAUCCGGAAUUAUUGGGCGUAAAGAGUGCGUAGGUGGUUUUUUAAGCGUGGGGUGAAAGGCAAUGGCUCAACCAUUGUAAGCCUUGCGAACUGGAAGACUUGAGUGCAGGAGAGGAAAGCGGAAUUCCUAGUGUAGCGGUGAAAUGCGUAGAUAUUAGGAGGAACACCAGUGGCGAAGGCGGCUUUCUGGACUGUAACUGACACUGAGGCACGAAAGCGUGGGGAGCAAACA